UUCUGACAUCAAUUCACCGAAGGGAC
rnacentral:piRNA from 1 species